rnacentral:lncRNA from 1 species
UGGGCACGCACGCCUCAGGGGCCCGCGGCGUCGGCCCCGUCCUGUCUCUGCUGAUGCCGCCGAGGCCGCCGCCUGCCAGGCCGCUUCCCGCCAGGUCCGGGCGGGUCCAUCCGUGCACAGAGGUCCCCGUGGGGCUAGCGAAAGGCUCUCCGAGCCAGAGCUGCCUCAGGCACUAAAAAGAAACGCUACCCGGCGCGGCCCCCGAGCGCGACGCAGUCCAGUCAGGGCCCCGCCCCGCCCUGGCUCGCCCCGCCCCUCCAUGGGGCGCGGGACUGCCUAAGGCGCUGCCUGAGCAACACCGGGAGAGGAGCUGUGCGAUGCGGCGGGGGAAACCCCUGCAGCGGAGCAGCCAAGAGGAGUGGAGGGAUCGAAGGUGCAUUCCUUCCACUGUUAAGGGUCGAUCCUUUAUUGCCAGCUUGCUGUACGACAGGCUUUCCAUAGACACCUAAAGGCCUCCGCUAUGUGGGCGGUGACCCGCCCGUGACGUAAGCUCUAGGCGCCUGAGAAGUGGGAGGACCCUGCGUCCAGGACAGGAAAGUGCGUGAUUUACAACUAGAGGGACAGGCGCUGUCCCGGGACCCGUCCUGGGCCAGGGAGCAGGAGAGGGAGGGACUACAGUUCCCGACUUGCCGCGGGGCGGGCGGAGAUCGUGCACUUUACCAGUGCGCUUCGGCGCCAGUUGCAUGGCCUUGGCAGCCAGUGGCGGCUCUCCUCCUGUAACAGUCCCCUUGUCUUCCGACCUCUCGCUCUUCGGUUACGUGUCCUUGCCGGUCGCCGCGGCAGCCCCUAAUGCCCGAGCGGCGGGUUCCCAGGCCCAGCUGUGGGCGCCACCGCCCACCAUGCGCCAAGCCCAGAGCCUGGUUGAAUCCUUCCCCACCCUGUCCACCCAUUUGGCCAUUAUCCUGCCACCUCCAAAUCCUGUUUUUGACACCUCUUGGGAGAGAGGGAAAAUGGAAAGAAAAAGGAAUAAACUCCUCGUGGCCAUAGUUACACCCCUGACCUUGCUUACACACUCUGGAUACCACCUGCUGUGGAGUGACGGAGUGGCGGAAGCAGACAUCCAGCGAUAG